rnacentral:tRNA from 1 species
GGCUUCAUAGCUCAGUUGGUUAGAGCGUUGCACUAGUAUCGGAAGGUCGCGGGUUCAAACCCUGUUGAAGUCC